GACGAACGCUGGCGGCGUGCCUAAUACAUGCAAGUCGAGCGGAUCUGAGGGAGCUUGCUCCCGAUGAUUAGCGGCGGACGGGUGAGUAACACGUGGGCAACCUGCCUGUAAGACUGGGAUAACUCCGGGAAACCGGGGCUAAUACCGGAUAAUUCAUUUUCUCACAUGAGGAAAUGCUGAAAGACGGUUUCGGCUGUCACUUACAGAUGGGCCCGCGGCGCAUUAGCUAGUUGGUGAGGUAACGGCUCACCAAGGCAACGAUGCGUAGCCGACCUGAGAGGGUGAUCGGCCACACUGGGACUGAGACACGGCCCAGACUCCUACGGGUGGCUG
rnacentral:rRNA from 1 species